GUGGGGAAUAUUGGACAAUGGGCGAAAGCCUGAUCCAGCCAUGCCGCGUGUGUGAAGAAGGUCUUCGGAUUGUAAAGCACUUUAAGUUGGGAGGAAGGGCAUUAACCUAAUACGUUAGUGUUUUGGCGUUACCGACAGAAUAAGCACCGGCUAACUUCGUGCCAGCAGCCGCGGUAAUACGAAGGGUGCAAGCGUUAAUCGGAAUUACUGGGCGUAAAGCGCGCGUAGGUGGUUCGUUAAGUUGGAUGUGAAAGCCCCGGGCUCAACCUGGGAACUGCAUCCAAAACUGGCGAGCUAGAGUACGGUAGAGGGUGGUGGAAUUUCCUGUGUAGCGGUGAAAUGCGUAGAUAUAGGAAGGAACACCAGUGGCGAAGGCGACCACCUGGACUGAUACUGACACUGAGGUGCGAAAGCGUGGGGAGCAAACAGGAUUAGAAACCCGUGUAGUCC
rnacentral:rRNA from 1 species